GUCCAUGCCGUAAACGAUGAUCACUAGCUGUUUGCGAUAUAAAGUAAGUGGCAAAGGGAACCAUUAAGUGAUCCACCUGGGGAGUACGCCCGCAAGGGUGAAACUCAAAGGAAUUGACGGGGCCCGCACAAGCGGAGGAACAUGUGGUUUAAUUCGAUGAUACGCGAGGAACCUUACCUGGAUUUAAAUGGGGAGUGACAGGCUUAGAGAUAGGUUUUUCUUCGGACACUCUUCAAGGUGCUGCAUGGUUGUCGU
rnacentral:rRNA from 1 species